rnacentral:rRNA from 1 species
AGCAGCCGCGGUAAUUCCAGCUCCAAUAGCGUAUAUUAAAGUUGUUGCAGUUAAAAAGCUCGUAGUUGGAUUUCGGGAUCGACGGGUCGGUCGCGCCUCCGGUGUGUACUGGCCCUGUCGGUUUCUCCCUUCUGACGAACCACGAUGUCAUUAACUUGAUGUCGUGGGAAAUCAGGACUGUUACUUUGAAAAAAUUAGAGUGUUUAAAGCAGGCAUUCGCUUGAAUACAUUAGCAUGGAAUAAUGAAAUAGGACGUUUGAUCUUAUUUUGUUGGUUUCUAAGAUCGACGUAAUGAUUAAUAGGGAUAGUUGGGGGCAUUAGUAUUCAAUUGUCAGAGGUGAAAUUCUUGGAUUUAUUGAAGACUAACUACUGCGAAAGCAUUUGCCAAGGAUGUUUUCAUUAAUCAAGAACGAAAGUUAGGGGAUCGAAGACGAUCAGAUACCGUCGUAGUCUUAACCAUAAACUAUGCCGACUAGGGAUCGGAUGAUGUUAAUUUUUUAAUGACUCAUUCGGCGCCUUACG